CUCUUCUGCAGUGCACAGCCCUCUAACAGCCCUUGCACUACAGAUGGAUUCUACUGUAGCAGAGUCGGUAGCUGGAAAAAGUUGGAAAGGAUCAGCAGUGGAUGGAUGUAUAUGCAGAGUGUAUGGAUGGAUGGACAAACAGGCAAAUAUGUCGAAAGGAUCACAUCAGGAGAGCUCGUGCUCAGCAAUACUUGAACACUAGGCUGCAUGCACAUGUUUGCAUACUGCCGUUAGCUUCAGCCAAGCUCGUCCACUGAUGGCUGCCUUUCUGAUUCAAUCUCUGUUGGUGGGCGCAGAGCCUGGAGACUUCACUUGUCAGGGCCUUCUCUGAGACGCCCGCCUCCACCCUUCUCCAACUCACCCGCAAUUUCCCUGGCUCUCACCGUCCCUUCCACCGCCACCCGAUCCUCUUCCUCCGCCUCGGCGUCCAGCACGGCUCGUCCAACCGCUGUUUUGACAAGUGCUUUGGAGAUAAUGUCGCAAGGAACCCCUCCGUUGCCUGCCAAGAAAUGCUAACUAGCCAUAACAUCAAUUAGUCAGCAGGAGAAUGAGGUUGAAAAUGGUAGCUUGAAAUGUAAAUUGUUCCUUUUUCUGGCCAUUAAGGGGGGAGACCUGGACCCCAUCCUGAUUGACUGAGGGAAACAAUGCCAAAAAGAGAGAGGGGAGGGUGAGGCGAGGUAGAACGAGGAGGCAGAGUGGAAUUUCAUGGACUCGAUUAGCUGGGUUCAUGGACGCUGGGGUGAAAUGCGGAGCUUUUAAGGGGUGAGUUGAGUUUCGCGAGGUCCAUCCCUGGUGUAUUCCCCUCCCACUUAUCUUCGAUACCAUCAGUGUCAGCGGGGUUACGUUUCCCACAGGCGUUCAAUGGUUUCAUUGCCUGUUUUAACAUUUUACAAGACAAGUAAAGUCCUUUUACUUGUUACUCAAAGGUUUCCUUUCUCCGAUGGGUUCUGACUCAGUAAAAAUGUUGCUAAAAAUGUUAGAUCGGCAAAAGAAGAUGGAUACAAUAUUAAUUUUAUUCAAUUGAAUGCACAUUGUUGAUAGAUUCUCAAAUAUUUAUGUCAGUUAGAUGGAUUUUGUUCCACAGAUGGUAAAAGCUUUAUUGUAAAAUGAACAGAAAUGAGGUUCACAGAGAAUCAUCCAAAUAUUGCAAAACGUUACACUUAUUGAUGGAUGAUAUGGGUAACAAGCAGCGAACCCAUCAAGCUCUUAUAUAACUGCAAGAAGAAAGCCAUUGUAUUGUACGUGCUAACACAAAACAUAAGGGUAGAAGAGGAUUCAAGAAGAGUGCCCGGCAAUUGCUUUUAGAACAGCAAACCCAUGCUGUCAGCAGAGUAAUGAGAGUCUGUUUGGCUCCUCUCAGCCACAUGAGGAGAAUAGUGGAACGACUGACCCCGUCUCUUAGCAGUUAAAUGAUGUCUUCCAGCUUUCAGAAAGCCAUGUGGCUUACCAACAGAAAGUUCCCCUCCGAUAUCAUUGUUGUGAGCACACCAAGCUAUUGGCUUAGAUGUGCUUGGUGCAGUGAGUGGGGGAAUGGAGACAGGGCACAGUCCUGUAAAUUAACUGAUAUUUGUCUUAUUCUCUGCCAAAAAUAAACCUGGAUUUGAAAAUUGAUUCUUUGCAUAAAUGUCUGAAAUAAUAAACCUAGAUUCAUAAAUUACAGCUAUGUAUUGAGAAACGACUUUAAUUCCAACAUGUCACAAAUCUUGGUAGUUUCUUGUAACGUCUUUUUGGCAAAACGGUCGUAAUCAUGCCAAGAAUAUCAUGUGUUUCAUGUUUGAAGGAGUGGGAGGUUUCUGCUUGUGGUAAUGAUUUUGUUAAAUACCAUGCAACCUCUACAGGGGUUUAUUGGUAUUAGCACCAGGUUUUUUCCUCAACUAGCCACAGCACGAUCCUAUUACAAUCCAAUGAACUCUUUGGUAUCUCUUCCUGAGUGUACAUUUUAAUGGUGAAAUAAACUGUAGCAGUCAAAGAAGAAUGAGUCAUUUGUGAAUGGAGUCCGACCAGCAGUGUGGAUAUUUAUGCUUAAUUG
ensembl:lncRNA